rnacentral:rRNA from 1 species
ACCGCCUGAACUGAAACAUCUAAGUAGGGCGAGGAAGAGAAAUCAACCGAGAUUCCGCUAGUAGUGGCGAGCGAACGCGGAAGAGGCCAAACCGGAGGUAGCAAUAUUUCCGGGGUUAGGACUGCAAUAUGUAACUUUAAUCUUUAACUGAAUGCUUUGGGAAGAGCAGCGAUACAGGGUGACAGCCCCGUAAGUGAAAAGGAUUGAGUGCUAGCAGUAUCCAGAGUACCAGCGGACACGUGAAACCCGCUGGGAAGAUGGGGGGACCAUCCUCCAAGCCUAAAUACUACUCAGUGACCGAUAGUGGAGCAGUACCGUGAGGGAAAGGUGAAAAGUACCCCGGGAGGGGAGUGAAAGAGAACCUGAAACCUUGUGCCUACAAGCACCGAGAGCACGUUAAAGUGUGAUCGGGUACUUUUUGUAGAACGGUCCGGCGAGUUAAUAUUUGCAGCGAGGUUAAGGAACUGGAGUUCCGGAGCCGCAGCGAGAGCGAGUCUGAAAAGGGCGUAUGAAGUUGCAGGUAUUAGACCCGAAACCGGGUGACCUAUCCAUGAGCAGGCUGAAGCGGUGGUAAGACACCGUGGAGGGCCGCACCCACGUCUGUUGAAAAAGCCGGGGAUGACUUGUGGAUAGCGGAGAAAUUCCAAUCGAACUCGGAGAUAGCUGGUUCUCCCCGAAAUAGCUUUAGGGCUAGCGUUAUCUUAGAUUACCGGAGGUAAAGCACUGAAUGGGCUAGGGGGCGAUAAGCUUACUGAACCCUAUCAAACUCUGAAUGCCGGCUAAUUGAUGAUCAGCAGUCAGACAGUGUGAGAUAAGUUUCAUUGUCAAAAGGGAAACAGCCCAGACCUACAGCUAAGGUCCCAAAUGUAUGCUAAGUGGAAAACGAUGUGGAGUUGCGAAAACAACCAGGAUGUUGGCUUAGAAGCAGCCACUCAUUAAAAGAGUGCGUAAUAGCUCACUGGUCGAGUGACUCUGCGCCGAAAAUUUAACGGGGCUAAACUAUACACCGAAGCUUGGGAUACAUCUAAUGUAUGGUAGGAGAGCGUUCUGUAUGGGGAGAAGUCGUAGCGAAAGCGGCGGUGGACUAUACAGAAGUGAGAAUGCCGGAAUAAGUAGCGAGAAUUAAGUGAGAAUCUUAAUGGCCGAAAGUCUAAGGUUUUUGGAGGAAGGUUCGUCCGCUCCAAGUAAGUCGGGAGCUAAGGUCAGGCCGAAAGGCGUAGCCGAUGCACAUACGGUUGAUAUUCCGUAACCAUCUGUAAUUUAAGCAAAGGGACACUUCAAAAGGGUGUGACCCGGGCGUUGGUUGACCCGGGCGUAAGGGACCGAAAUUAGAGUAGGGAAGCACACUUAGCUGAAGGCGAGAAAAGCUUUGCGUAUAGAAACAGAUGCCCGUACCGCAAACCGACACAGGUGGACAGGAAGAGAAUUCUAAGGCCAGCGGGAGAAGGGUAGUUAAGGAACUCGGCAAAUUGACUCCGUAACUUCGGAAUAAGGAGUGCUCGAAAGAGCCGCAGAGAAUAGGCCCAGGCGACUGUUUAGCAAAAACACAGGUCUCUGCCAAAUCGAAAGAUGAAGUAUAGGGGCUGACACCUGCCCGGUGCCGGAAGGUUAAGAGGAGGAGUGAGAGCUCCGAAUUGAAGCCCCGGUAAACGGCGGCCGUAACUAUAACGGUCCUAAGGUAGCGAAAUUCCUUGUCGGGUAAGUUCCGACCCGCACGAAUGGUGUAACGAUCUGGGCACUGUCUCAACUACCCACCCGGCGAAAUUGUAGUACCGGUGAAGAUGCCGGUUACCUGCGGCAAGACGGAAAGACCCCAUGGAGCUUUACUGUAGCCUGAUAUUGGGUUUCGGAAAUCUAUGUACAGGAUAGGCGGGAGACUGGGAAACAUGAGCGUCAGCUUGUGUGGAGUCGAUGUUGGGAUACCGCCCUUAGGUUUCUGGAAUUCUAACCUGCGGCCGUGAAUCCGGUCGGGGGACAUUGUCAGGUGGGCAGUUUGACUGGGGCGGUCGCCUCCGAAAAGGUAACGGAGGCGCUCAAAGGUUAGCUCAGCACGGACGGAAACCGUGCCUCUGAGUGUAAACGCAAAAGCUAGCCUAACUGCGAGGGUGACGGCCCGAGCAGUAACGAAAGUUGGAGUUAGUGAUCCGGCGGUAUGUGAAUGGAAAUGCCGUCGCUCAACGGAUAAAAGCUACCCUGGGGAUAACAGGCUGAUCUCCCCCAAGAGUCCACAUCGACGGGGAGGUU